rnacentral:rRNA from 1 species
AUUGAACGCUGGCGGCAGGCCUAACACAUGCAAGUCGAACGAGUGGCGGACGGGUGAGUAAUGUCUGGGAACCUGCCCGAUGGAGGGGGAUAACUACUGGAAACGGUAGCUAAUACCGCAUACCCUCGGAUGUGACCAGAUGGGAUUAGCUAGUAGGUGGGGUGAAGGCUGACCUAGGCGACGAUCCCUAGCUGGUCUGAGAGGAUGACCGUCCACACGGGAACUGCGACACGGUCCCGACUCCUACGUGAGUCAGCAGUGGGGAAUAUUGCACAAUGGGCGCAAGCCUGAUGCAGCCAUGCCGCGUGUAUUAAGAAUGCCUUCGGGUUGUAAUGUACGUGCAGCGGGGAGGCGUUACCCGCAGAAGAAGCACCGGCUAACUCCGUGCCAGCAGCCGCGGUAAUAC